rnacentral:rRNA from 1 species
UACGUAGGGUGCGAGCGUUGUCCGGAAUUAUUGGGCGUAAAGAGCUCGUAGGCGGUUUGUCGCGUCGGCCGUGAAAACUUGGGGCUUAACUCCAAGCUUGCGGUCGAUACGGGCAGACUUGAGUUCGGCAGGGGAGACUGGAAUUCCUGGUGUAGCGGUGAAAUGCGCAGAUAUCAGGAGGAACACCGGUGGCGAAGGCGGGUCUCUGGGCCGAUACUGACGCUGAGGAGCGAAAAGCGUGGGGAGC